rnacentral:rRNA from 1 species
UACGGAGGAUGCGAGUGUUAUCCGGAUUUAUUGGGUUUAAAGGGUGCGUAGGCGGAAUAUCAAGUCAGCGGUAAAAAUUCGGGGCUCAACCCCGUCGUGCCGUUGAAACUGAUGUUCUUGAGUGGGCGAGAAGUAUGCGGAAUGCGUGGUGUAGCGGUGAAAUGCAUAGAUAUCACGCAGAACUCCGAUUGCGAAGGCAGCAUACCGGCGCCCAACUGACGCUGAAGCACGAAAGCGUGGGUAUCGAACAGG